rnacentral:rRNA from 1 species
GAUGAACGCUGGCGGCGUGCCUAAUACAUGCAAGUCGAGCGGUAAGGUUCUCACUCUGUAUUUAACGAGUUUGAAUAUAGUGUGAGAAUACACGAGCGGCGGACGGCUGAGUAACACGUAGGAACGUACCCCAAAGUGAGGCAUAAGCAUCAGAAAUGAUGUCUAAUACCGCAUGUGAUCUUCGGAUUAAAGCUUCGGCGCUUUGGGAACGGCCUGCGCAUGAUUAGCUUGUUGGUGAGGUAAUAGCUCACCAAGGCGACGAUCAUUAGCUGGUCUGAGAGGAUGAUCAGCCAGACUGGGACUGAGAACGGCCCAGACUCCUACGGGAGGCAGCAGUAGGGAAUUUUCCACAAUGGGCGAAAGCCUGAUGGAGCAACGCCGCGUGCAGGAUGAAUGCCUUCGGGUUGU